CCUACGGGCGGCAGCAGUGAGGAAUAUUGGUCAAUGGACGAGAGUCUGAACCAGCCAAGUAGCGUGAAGGAUGACUGCCCUAUGGGUUGUAAACUUCUUUUAUAUGGGAAUAAAAUGUUCCACGUGUGGGAUUUUGUAUGUACCAUAUGAAUAAGGCUCGGCUAACUCCGUGCCAGCAGCCGCGGUAAUACGGAGGAUCCGAGCGUUAUCCGGAUUUAUUGGGGUUAAAGGGAGCGUAGGUGGAUUGUUAAGUCAGUUGUGAAAGUUUGCGGCUCAACCGUAAAAUUGCAGUUGAAACUGGCAGUCUUGAGUACAGUAGAGGUGGGCGGAAUUCGUGGUGUAGCGGUGAAAUGCUUAGAUAUCACGAAGAACUCCGAUUGCGAAGGCAGUUCACUGGACUGCAACUGACACUGAGGCUCGAAAGUGUGGGUAUCAAACAGGAUUAGAUACCCGAGUAGUC
rnacentral:rRNA from 1 species